rnacentral:rRNA from 1 species
UACGGAGGGUGCGAGCGUUAAUCGGAAUUACUGGGCGUAAAGCGCGCGUAGGCGGCUGUGUAAGUCGGAUGUGAAAGCCCUGGGCUUAACCUGGGAACUGCGUUCGAUACUGCACAACUAGAGUAUGGGAGAGGGAAGUGGAAUUUCCGGUGUAGCGGUGAAAUGCGUAGAUAUCGGAAGGAACACCAGUGGCGAAGGCGACUUCCUGGCCCAAUACUGACGCUGAGGUGCGAAAGCGUGGGGAGCAAACAGG